rnacentral:pre_miRNA from 7 species
UGCGGGCCGGACCACGAGCGCAAGAAGGGCAUCCCCUGGACGGAGGAGGAGCACAAGUAAGCAAGCACAACCCCAGUUAGUUGAUCCUCGAUCUCAUACUUGUGCUCCUCCUCCGUCCAGGGGAUGUCCUUCUUGCGCUCGUGGUCCGGCCCGCG